UUUCCGUAGGUGAACCUGCGGAAGGACCAUUG
rnacentral:rRNA from 1 species